rnacentral:piRNA from 1 species
UGGAGAAAAGUGUCUGGCUAUGUUGC